rnacentral:lncRNA from 1 species
AGUGGGCGGGGCCUCCUUGAGGACCCCGGGCUGGGCGCCGCCGCCGGUUCGUCUACUCUUUCCUUCAGCCGCCUCCUUUCAACCUUGUCAACCCGUCGGCGCGGCCUCUGGUGCAGCGGCGGCGGCUCCUGUUCCUGCCGCAGCUCUCUCCCUUUCUUACCUCCCCACCAGAUCCCGGAGAUCGCCCGCCAUGGCUUUACUUACUGCGGCCGCCCGGCUCUUGGGAACCAAGAAUGCAUCUUGUCUUGUUCUUGCAGCCCGGCAUGCCAGUGCUUCCUCCACGGUAAGGUUUGGAAAAGAAGACUAAGAAUAAGAAUCAUUGCGGCCAGCCUGACCUUGGGGCAGAGGAUUUGGCAACCACCUGGCCUCUUAUUAUCCUGAGUAUUUCCUGGAAGUGUUUGUUACUAUUGUUAUUGUUAUAGCUGCUAUUAUUAUUAUAUUACUAUUUAACAAAUAAUUUACUCAGUGGUAUAGUGAGAUGGGAAUAUCAAUACAUUUGCCUAAUUCUUUUAAAUGUUUUAAGUAGUGUAAAAUAUACAUAACAUAAAAUUUACCAUUUUAAUCAUUUUUAAGUAUAUGGUUUAGUGGCAGUAGAUAUGUUUACAUUAUUGUGCAACCAUCCAUCUCCAGAACUUUUGUCUGCCCAAACCGAGAAACUGUUCCCAUUAAACAUUAACUCCUCAUUCCUUCUUCCCCCUGCCUAAUUCUUUUACCCUCA